rnacentral:rRNA from 1 species
GACGGACGCUGGCGGCGUGCUUAACACAUGCAAGUCGAACGGAGGAUUUAUUUCGGUAAAUCCUUAGUGGCGAACGGGUGAGUAACGCGUGGGCAACCUGCCCUUCAGAUGGGGACAACAUCCCGAAAGGGGUGCUAAUACCGAAUACGAUCACGCUGCCGCAUGGCGGUGUGAUGAAAGAUGGCCUCUGUUUACAAGCUAUCGCUUAAGGAUGGGCCUGGGUCUGAUUAGCUAGUUGGUGGGGUAACGGCCUACCAAGGCGAUGAUCAGUAGCCGGUCUGAGAGGAUGAACGGCCACAUUGGGACUGAGACACGGCCCAAACUCCUACGGGAGGCAGCAGUGGGGAAUAUUCCGCAAUGGACGAAAGUCUGACGGAGCAACGCCGCGUGAGUGAUGAAGGUUUUCGGACUGUAAAACUCUGUUGUUUAGGACGAAAGUGCCUGUUGCAAACAGUUGCAGGUAUUGACGGUACUGAACGAGGAAGCCACGGCUAACUACGUGCCAGCAGCCGCGGUAAAAC